rnacentral:rRNA from 1 species
UACGUAGGGCGCAAGCGUUGUCCGGAAUUAUUGGGCGUAAAGAGCUCGUAGGCGGUCUGUCGCGUCGAUCGUGAAAAUUUGGGGCUUAACCCUGAGCUUGCGGUCGAUACGGGCAUGACUGGAGUUCGGCAGGGGAGACUGGAAUUCCUGGUGUAGCGGUGAAAUGCGCAGAUAUCAGGAGGAACACCGGUGGCGAAGGCGGGUCUCUGGGCCGAUACUGACGCUGAGGAGCGAAAGCGUGGGGAGCGAACAGG